CCCUUUAAUGUCCCUCUUUCAUUCAGGGACGGGCUGGACACUUUGAAAGGAUCCAUCAUGAAUAACCGUCUGAUAAGGGUACACCAGGCACAUGUAUCACAACCAUCUGUGCAUGACAUAGUGAUCGCAUACCAAGAUAAACAGUGCAUGACCUUGCAGAUGCCUCUAUGAUAUUCAGAACACUGGAUUUUAAGGAAUUCUCCGGGGUCUGACAAGAAGAUAUGAACCUGAACCAUGGAAAUUACUCAAAAAUAUGGAAAACUAUACAAGCUCGAGACAUGCACCAUUUUGAUGAAAGGGAAAAACAGAAUUAUGAGAGAAAAAAAAGGGUAUAUUUUUCUACCUGAAUUUAUAACACAGGCAUGAGAGAGAAGGAGCUUAUCUGACCUGUAUAUUACCAAAUCCCCAGAGGUCUUUCUUGUGCAAUUCAAUGGACAAUUUAAGCAUCUCUCAUUAAUGCGAGGACUGUGAUCUCCUACAAAAGAUGCUGAAGUGCCUAGGGAUGCCAUUUGUGUUGUUUUAAAAGUGAUGAGGGUAUGUAAUGACAAACUUAAUUAGCGGCCCGUACUUACCUACAAACUAAUCCUGCAGUAUUUCAGGUUAAAUUGUAAAGGAUAAAAGGGACAAUUCCAAAACCUAGUUUGGGGCUCACUUUCAUAAUACAAUACAUCCAGUGGUCAACAUUGACAUGGCUCUGGUGAUACGGGGUCAGGUGAUAUGUCAGUAUGGACAUAAUAGUCCUCCAGACUUUCCAAGAGCAUAAAAUUAUCCCAGAACUAUGUUUUGUAGUGAAAAGCAAGAGAGCAUUCUGGAUGCUUCUUCAGAGCAGAAAGUCCUGUUGCUGCACCUAUAGUAGUGAAGGUAAUUUAAGGGUUUAGGUCCAGAAGAACUGGACACAAGUGGACAACUGUGAACAUAUGUUUCUGUCUCAAUAGCUAAAUGCUAAUGGGACUUUUGAGAAAGCAGCAGUAGCAGUGUAUGGGGAGUACUGUUGUUUUUAGGGCACCACAAGGCACAUAGUUUAACUGUCCCUGAUGAGUCAUAAUGCGUAUAUCCCCUCUUAAACAGUGAGGUGUAAUUUGAAGGACAUUUGAUUGCUGCUAUUUCUAGCAGGCAUAAAGGUUGAGACUCUCACUGCCUAUAAGGUCGUCAGUCAAGUUAUUGUUGCUGGCGAAGGUAAAGAAUACGCACACUCGAUGUUUAGGGUUUCGGUUUUUGUUACGCCGAAAACGGGGGGGGGGGAGUGCGUCUUCUCACCUCCUCCGCCGUCGCCAUCGUUGUUGUUGUUGCUGUUCUAAUAUUACCAUCGUGAUGGUGAGGCGGUGAGCUGGCAGCAGAAUCGUUAGCACGACCGGGCGAAAUGCUUAGCGGCAUUUCGUCCGUCUU
rnacentral:lncRNA from 1 species